rnacentral:rRNA from 1 species
AUUGAACGCUAACGGCGUGCUUAACACAUGCAAGUCGAGCGGCAGCAUGACUGUAGCAAUACAGUUGAUGGCGAGCGGCGGACGGGUGAGUAAUGCAUAGGAAUCUGCCUUGUAGUGGGGGAUAACCCGGGGAAACUCGGGCUAAUACCGCAUAAUCUCUACGGAGCAAAGUGGGGGACCUUCGGGCCCUACGCUAAAAGAUGAGCCUCUGUUGGAUUAGCUAGUUGGUAGGGUAAAGGCCUACCAAGGCAACGAUCCAUAGCUGGUCGGAGAGGAGGAUCAGCCACACUGGGACUGAGACACGGCCCAGACUCCUACGGGAGGCAGCAGUGGGGAAUAUUGGACAAUGGGCGAAAGCCUGAUCCAGCAACGCCGUGUGUGUGAAGAAGGCCUUCGGGUUGUAAAGCACUUUUAGUGGGGAAGAAAAGUUCAUGGCUAAUAUCCAUGAAUGCUGACGUUACCCACAGAAAAAGCACUGGCUAACUCUGUGCCAGCCGCCGCCGUAA